rnacentral:rRNA from 1 species
GAUCGGGGCCCCACUCCCUGACGGCAGACGGGUGAUUAACACGUGCCUCAAUCUUCCCGAUAGUGGGGGACAACUAGCCGAAAGGUUAGCUAAUACCGCAUACGAUCUUCGAGCGGCAUCGUUUGAAGAUGAAAGGAGCACUCCGCUUUCGGACGGGACUGCGUCCCAUUAGCUAGAUGGUGGGGUAAUGGCCUACCAUGGCGACGAUGGGUAGCUGGUUUGAGAUAGCGACCUGCCACACUGGGACUGAUAAACGGCCCAGACUCCUACUGGAGGCAUCAGUGAGGAAUUUUCCGCAAUGGGCGAAAGCCUGACUGAGCGACUCCGUGUGUGGGAAGAAUGCCUUCGGGUCGUAAACCACUGUCGAAGGGGACGAUAAUGACGGUACCCUUGGAGGAAGCCCCGGCUAACUACGUGCCAGCAGCCGCGGUAA